rnacentral:rRNA from 1 species
GGAAAAAUUUAUUGCUAUUAGAUGAGCCUAUAUUAGAUUAGCUAGUUGGUGGAGUAAUAGCCUACCAAGGCAAUGAUCUAUAGCUGAUCUGAGAGGAUGAUCAGCCACACUGGAACUGAGAUACGGUCCAGACUCCUACGGGAGGCAGCAGUGGGGAAUAUUGGACAAUGGGCGAAAGCCUGAUCCAGCCAUGCCGCAUGAGUGAAGAAGGCCUUUGGGUUGUAAAGCUCUUUUAGUGAGGAAGAUAAUGACGGUACUCACAGAAGAAGUCCUGGCUAACUCCGUGCCAGCAGCCGCGGUAAUACGGAGAGGGCUAGCGUUAUUCGGAAUUAUUGGGCGUAAAGGGCGCGUAGGCUGAUUAAUAAGUUAAAAGUGAAAUCCCGAGGCUUAACCUUGGAAUUGCUUUUAAAACUAUUAAUCUAGAGAUUGAAAGAGGAUAGAGGAAUUCCUGAUGUAGAGGUAAAAUUCGUAAAUAUUAGGAGGAACACCAGUGGCGAAGGCGUCUAUCUGGUUCAAAUCUGACGCUGAAGCGCGAAGGCGUGGGGAGCAAACAGGAUUAGAUACCCUGGUAGUCCACGCUGUAAACGAUGAAUGUUAAAUAUGGGAAGUUUACUU